rnacentral:rRNA from 1 species
GUGAGGAAUAUUGGUCAAUGGGCGAGAGCCUGAACCAGCCAAGUCGCGUGAAGGAAGAAGGAUCUAUGGUUCGUAAACUUCUUUUGCAGGGGAAUAAAGUGCAGGACGUGUCCUGUUUUGUAUGUACCCUGAGAAUAAGGAUCGGCUAACUCCGUGCCAGCAGCCGCGGUAAUACGGAGGAUCCGAGCGUUAUCCGGAUUUAUUGGGUUUAAAGGGAGCGUAGGUGGUUUGAUAAGUCAGCGGUGAAAGUUUGCAGCUUAACUGUAAAAAUGCCGUUGAAACUGUCGGACUUGAGUGUAAAUGAGGUAGGCGGAAUGCGUGGUGUAGCGGUGAAAUGCAUAGAUAUCACGCAGAACUCCGAUUGCGAAGGCAGCUUACUAAGCUACAACUGACACUGAAGCACGAAAGCGUGGGGAUCAAACAGGAUUAGAAACCCCAGUAGUCC